rnacentral:tRNA from 1 species
AACAUAAUAGUUCAGUUGGUUAGAAUGCCACCCUGUCACGGUGGAGGUCGAGGGUUCAAAUCCCUUUUAUGUUGCCA